rnacentral:lncRNA from 1 species
GUGUCGCGGCGCACGUAGGUCCCCCGACCUGACAGGUGCGCGGCCCGGGCCGGCUGGGCUCUCAGAGCCGAGAGGUGGGGCCCCGACCUGGCCGUGGGGCUGGGCCCGCUCCGUCGCCCCGACCCCGCGUGGUCCGCCAACUCCCUCCUGCGCGCGGAGAGGACGGGCAUUGUUCUCGGGGCCCCGGAGAGCGCGAGAGCGGCCUGAGGUCUGUGUGCCGGAGCUCGGGAAGGCGGACGCGACUCCGCUUGCGCGAAACGAGCGAACGACACAUUAUUAUCUUGGUGUGUGCGGGUUUUUUGAAAGCCGUGGUGGCGCUCCCAGCUCGCCAGUGCGUGCGGGGCAGUUUCUGGGAAGAUACCCUAGAGCUACUCUGGCGGGGCCGGAGUCUGGAGGGAGGAGAUCCCCUCUCCUUGAGCCCCCUCCUGUGGAGCGGCUUCCUGCCGGCCUGCGUGGCCUCUCAGUUAAGACUCCCCCGCUAGACAAAAGCCCCGCCGGCUGCGUCUCUGGGCCACUGGACAGCCCCCUUUUGCAGAGGCCUCGAGCGUGGGGUCACCAAAAUCCCUGACACCUACUGUCCCGCGCCGGGUCGGACAGGAUUACGAGGCCCCACUUUCCAGAUGAGAAAACUGAGGUGGGGAUCUUUUGAGACCUCACUGUGAGCGUGCGCGUCCCGCCCGGUCUGGGAGUGGCGUCCCCGGCCUCGCGAGCGUCGCGCAGUGAAGCGACAGGGCGUGGCGCCUAAUUGUCCCCACGCCACGCGAGGGCUAGAAACCCGCAGUCGGGGCGGACCAUCCCUCCAGGCACCGCCCCCUCCUUGGGACCGCUCCGCGGGGGCGCCAAGGGUUUCCCCAGCACCGCCCCGGCGGCCGCCAGCCAGCCGCGGCCCCGCCCAUGCCCCUCCCCGCGGGUCUGGGCCCGCCCCUGAAGCGGGGAGGUGUCGCAGGGGAGCCCCCCGCUUCCGAGCUGCGGCUGCGCAUCAAGUCCUUCGCCAGCGGCUCUCCCUGAAACGGGGGGUUUCAAGGCGUGAUUUGUAGGGGUGUUUAGUAUCCCCUAAAUCUCUGCCAGCUCCACCAUGGCUAUCCGAAGUAAACAACAGAAGCUAAUUCAAAACUGGGUCCCCUUCCAAAAAAUUACAAAAAUUAGCCGGACUGGGUGGCGCAUGCCUGUAGUUCCAGCUCCUUGCAGGGGACUGAGGCAGGAGGAUCGCUUGAUCCCAGGAGGUUGAGAUUGCAGUGAGCUAUGAUCACACCACUGCACUCCAGCCUGGUCGACAGAAGGAGACCCUGUCUCAAAAAAUAAACAAAAAAUCGGCCAAGCGCGGUGGUUCACCCCUCUAAUCCCAGUACUUUGGGAGGCUGAGGUGGAUGAUCACCUGAGGUCAGGAAUUCGAGACCAGUCUGGCCAACAUGGCGAAACCCCGUCUCUACUAAAAAUACAAAAAUUAGCUAGACGUGGUGGCACGCGCCUGUAGUCCCAGAUGCUCGGGAGGCUGAGGUGGGAGAAUCACUUAAACCCGGGAGGCAGAGAUUGCAGUGAGCCGAGAUCGCGCCACUUCACUGCAGCCUGCGCAAGAGAGCAAAACUCCGUCUCAAAAAAGAAAGUUAGGAGCCGCUUCAGUGUACAGUGGGUGACCCAGAUUGGCUGCUGAGGUCCUGCCCCCUAAGGUCCUAUCUCAAAAGCUGAAGAUUUUGAAAAAUCCCAGGCCAUCUGAGAUGCCAUUCCUGCCUGGUACCCAUGGCCUCGACCACACUAGCCAGGUUCCAUCUCGGGGUUUCAUCAGCUCAGAUGAGGUGGAGUAGGAGGCCUCUCUGGUGUCUCCUCCUCCCACCACUUAGUGUUGCCUGAGUUUCCAUGGCUCCAGGAUACUAGCCCUGAGGGAUGGAUGUUCUCAGAGAAGCUUCUGUCCCCGGGAUGGAUGUUCUCAGAGAAGCUUCUGUCCCCAGCCCUGCCCUGAGCUAUAGGCUCUGAUGGGGUAAGUUAGUCACCUUCCCACAAAACUGCCCACCACUGAGAAUCCAGGAGUCCCUACCUCCCAGCCACGAAGCAACUCUCUUUUUCUGAGGUGGAACAGAAGCCAUCUCCCAGCUGUCUCCCUCUCCACACUUUGCAGCCUGGAGGCCAUCCUGCCUGAGAUUCUACCCUUAGAGCUUCAUUCUUUUGUGACUUUCACACCUUUCAGAAACUUGGAGAAAGAUCUGCCCCCAGGUGAGGUUUGGGUAACUCCUCCACUCCCAUCCCCACCUCAGAGGAGGCUUGCUCCACCUCCACUGCCCCUCAGGCCCAAGCUCCUGUCUGGGUCCUCAGCCUCUGUGGAGUUGAGGUCUGUAGCAUAUCUCAAGGGCACUGGGGAGGUGCCGCUGCCCUGCAUCCUCCCAAACCCCACAGCUCCUCUCACCCCUUUUGGUCUCCCUUUUGCCCCCCACCUCCACUUCCACCAAGCUUAGGGCUCAGUUCACUGCCCGCCAGGCCCAGCUGCUCUGAUGCCCUCCUUGUUCUAUUGUCCUUACUGUCUCCUCUGUCUGCCUCAUCUGACUUUGCCUUCUCUGGAGGCAGUUAAUUCACCUCUGAGCCUUGGCCCCAGGGUCACCUCCCUGGAAAGCCUUCCUGGGGCUGCCCUGGCCUGCCCCCCUGCUCAGGACAAUCUGGCCUGCAUGUGCACUCCAUUCUGUGGACCAUGAGCCCCUCCCGGACCAAGCUGGGCACAGCUCAGCUUCUCACUAAGGGCAGGGGGCUGCCAUGGAAAGCCUGUCACUUCUAACUGGCAAGACAGAGCACCCAGGUAGAGUGGCAUUGUGGGAGCUGUACCCAGUAUGGGAGGUGGGGGCAGCGGCCAGUCCUCAUGGUCUGUCUUAGAGAAGCCUUGUGUGGCAGUGACAUUUUGGAGGGGAGACAAUUUUGGAGGGGGCUGCAGGAGCCUGGGCCUGGAGUAAGGGGAGAGGAGAGUCAAGCUGUCCAGUGGGGAGAAGGCCUGGUGGGCGAUGGUGCCAUCCUGAGUGGAGAAGGCCUGGGAAUGUGAGGAGUGGGGAGGUCAGGGUGGGGGUGGUAGAGGUGCUAGGUGUAACCACUGCUUAGGUGAAGACAACUCCUGUGCCCUUUCAGAGCCAGGGCAGGGUGCCUCGUGCCCAGGGUUGGGAGUUGGGAGGCAGUGGACUUGGGCCCAGACCCUAGAGGUGAGGAGGGUGAUGGUGAGGGGUGUAGGGAUGGCAACACUGGCAGAAUAGCCCCUGUCUACCCUCUGACCUUCCUCACCAAGCUGGUGGGUGAGAGGUCCGUCAGGGCCUCCAUAUUACAGCUGAAGCUAUGGAAGCCAGAGAGGUACCUGAGCAGUGACUUGACUUAAGGGCUCUGACCCCCACAUCAUAGCUAAACUGUGGUGGCCCCCAAAUGCUCCCCUGCCAUUUCCAGACUUCCACACUGGAAGGGGGAACGUGGCUCUGGUGCAGACAGUGUUGGGUGGGGAUUGCAGCUCCUCACGGGACUCCCUGCCGGACUUGGGCACCAAUUUCCCCUCAGGAGUGCCUGCUGCGCCUCCCCAGACCAGCUGCUGUGAGGAUAAUGGGGUUUGUGUUCAGCAAGUGGCCACCCCUGGCAGCACCCACAGCUCAUGGAAACCACUGGGAACUGAGAACUGUUUAGUGGAGUUGAGGCUGGUGUUUAGUGAAGUUCCAAUCACCAGGAGACUUUCGGGCCAGAGGAUCAGGGUUGAAGGGUUUUAGUGCGUGCUCAGCCAAAGGGCCUCAAUUCUGAGUCUGAGAAGAGGCCUCAGAGCCUGGUGCUUUGGGAAGCCAAGACUACCCCAGCUCCAGGAUCUGUCCUGUUCUCAGGUCCCACUGAGGCAGAGCCCAUGGACUUGAUGCCCAGCCCUGCCCGCUGUCUCUGGAACUCCUAUUUCCUCGGGGCAUUGGACCGUGUCUGCCCACCAAGCCCCACUGAAGGGUGCAGGGCCCCCGAGCGGGACUGGAGGCGGGCAGAGAAGGACCUGUGGGAGCAGCUGGCAGAAAGCAGGCAGCAGAGGGCCGAGCUGGCAAGCCGUCUUCGGGCAGUGCCGGAGGCCCUGUCGGAGCAAGCCCUGGUGCUGCAGAGGCGGGAGCACAAGCUGGGACUUGGCUGGUCCCUAAAGCAGAAAGUGGAGUGCUCCCUGGCCUGCCUGGAGCAGGAGAGGCACCAGAUGCAGGGAUCCCAGGGACAGGCUGAGUGGAGGAGGCCAGACCAGAACAUAGAAGACAAGAUCCUGCUGCUGCAGACAGAAGUGGAAAAGGCCUAGCGGCAUUUGGACCAAAUGACCCAACAGCCUGUUGGCCCAGAGCCCAGCCUGGGGAUCCCCCAAGUGGGUGCAUGGCAGGCCCUGCGCACUGGCCCUGCUGUACCUUUGACUCUGCCCCACACUUUAUUCUCUGGUCCUCAUUAUUGAAGCAUUAUCUAGAGAAGGAAGGCAGCGCAGGGGCUUAGUCCAGCCAAGAGAGGGAUCCUCUUCCAACAUUUGGGAAUACCCUGGGAUCAUUCAGUGACUUCCCUCCUGGUUCAGAUGGGAAAACUGAGACCAGAGAGCAGAGGAGAGCUUGUUCAGAGUCAUAACUUGAGUUGGGGCCAGGACCCUGCCACAACAUGCCCUGAGGCAUCAACGGUCUGCCAAGACCACCCCAGUGUGGUCUGGAAGCUGGAAGGAGACCCCAGGAUUCUGGACCAAGUGUAUCUACAGGAGAUGCUGGUGCCAGGCCUGCAGAUCCAAGAGCAGAGCUGGGAUGGAGGCAGGGCCCAGGAGCUUCGGGACCCAGAGUCUCCAUGCCAGCAGCUGAGACCCCUGCCCAGGCUCAGGACACAGUCCGUCUGCAGGAGCAGUUGCUGAUACUCACUGAGGUGAACAAGAGACUCAGAAGAGCUGGGCCAGAGCCACCAGCAACUAGGGGCCUGCUUGGAGCAGCUGCAGCAUCUGCAGGGAGAGCAGAUGGUGUUGGGGGGCCAUUGCAGGCCCUGGAGGCAGAGCACACCUGGCUACUUCAGGAGAAGGUGGGGCUGCUAGCAGCACUGGGUGUGGCCCCGGGCCAAGAGUCCUGGUAGGUGGCUGCUUGGGCCCAUCCUCAGAGUGUCCAAGCCAGGCUGGGGUGGGGGCUCUGUUCUCACUGUAGGUGAGAUGGCCCUCUCAGCAGGCGGUGGGCCAGUCUCUGUCACCAGCUGGCUGAGGGGGAAUGGCCCAGAGCCCUAAACCCGGAAUCACACGACCAGAGCCAGUCUCCCUUCCCCAGGUAUCAGCGCUCCUGGUUGUCACAUUCUGGCUCUUUUAUGGGGUGGGAAAUCUUUCAGCUUCAAGAAGUCCUGUCUCG